CUAUUAUUCUUUUAUGAGUACGAUCGUCUUCGUACUCACAAGUCAUUUUUGAUGAUAGAACUUCCGAAUUAAUACUUUAUAUUGUUAAAUAUUAUUUAGAAUAUUUAAAAUUUUUACAAAUCAAAUUUUAUAAUUUUUGACAUAUUUUACCUUAUGAUCAAAAGAUCUCAAAAUUAACAAUUUUUAAUGAUCGAUAAGGGAUACUUACUAGUUUAACGAUAUAAAAGAAUCGGAAUUAGUUGAAUUUUUGAUAAAAAUUUUAUUUACUAUCUAGAUAAAGAUCAAUAACUUCAAUCUUAAAUUGAAGGAUCCGAUCAUCCAUUUUUAGGACGUCGUUCGAUUUUGACCCUUCAUUUUAUGCCUGCUUAUUGGACUUUAUUAUGAUUUCGAAAAAUUAUAAAAUUUAUCUUUUGGAAGUUUCAAAUACUUUAGAUCAUAUUUAAUGGAGUAGAUUGUCGAUUUGGAUGAUCUGUCAUCGAAAAUAACUUAUGAGUAUAAAGAGCUCUAUACUCAUAAGAGUACAGUAGCCCUAGCAUAUAUAUAUACACACACACGUCUUCUGUGCUUUCAAAAGUACGGAGGUCUCCGUACUUGUAAGUUGUUUUUUAUGAUAGGACAUUCAAUAUGAUGAUCGAUUUUAUUAGAUAUAAUUUACGUUAUUAUAACCAUCUACAAAUCAAAUUUUAUAAACUUUCGACAUCAUUUAGCAUAUGAUCAAAAAGUCUAAAAAAUGGCUAUUUCAACGAUCGAUGUGGCACGUUUUUAAGUUCAACGGUAUAGAAAAAUUCAAAUUACAUGAAAUUUUAAUAGAAAAUUUUACUUCACAUAAAUAGUAAGAUCAAUACGUAUAGUUUACAAUUUGAGUCUUUUAUUACUAUUUUUUAUAAAAUUUUUAUUUUCAGCCGUUUAUUUUUAGGAUACUCUUUCACUAGUUAAAUGAAGUCAUAAUAUUAUAAAAUUUGGUUUCUAAAUAGUUUCAACAGCGUAAAUUAUAUCUAAUAAAACAGAUCAGCGAAUCGAAUAUCACAUCAUCGAAAACAACUUAGGCUUCGUUUGAGAUUACGGCGAGAUUGCGUUACGUUCGGUGAGAAAGUACGUUGGAAAAAUACCUUGUUUGUUUUCGUAUGUAAUAUUGCGUUCCGCAUAUCGCGAUGAGUCGGUUACGAUAUAUUUUCUACGGUCUCACCGGAGAACACAAAAGCAUAUCUCUAUAUGCUUUUUCCUCAACUCCAUUUUAUCUAAUAGCGUCGGAUAGACCUCAAUAUCAAACUAAGCCUUAUAAACAUAGAGACCUCC
rnacentral:lncRNA from 1 species